AGUCGAGGGGUAUAGUUCUUCGGGACUAGAGACCGGCGCACGGGUGCGUAACGCGUAUGCAAUCUACCUUUUACAGAGGGAUAGCCCAGAGAAAUUUGGAUUAAUACCUCAUAGUAUAUAGCCCUGGCAUCAGGAUUAUAUUAAAGUCACAACGGUAAAAGAUGAGCAUGCGUCCCAUUAGCUAGUUGGUAAGGUAAUGGCUUACCAAGGCUACGAUGGGUAGGGGUCCUGAGAGGGAGAUCCCCCACACUGGUACUGAGACACGGACCAGACUCCUACGGGAGGCAGCAGUGAGGAAUAUUGGACAAUGGGCGCAAGCCUGAUCCAGCCAUGCCGCGUGCAGGAUGACGGUCCUAUGGAUUGUAAACUGCUUUUAUACGAGAAGAAACACUCCUUCGUGAAGGAGCUUGACGGUAUCGUAAGAAUAAGGAUCGGCUAACUCCGUGCCAGCAGCCGCGGUAAUACGGAGGAUCCAAGCGUUAUCCGGAAUCAUUGGGUUUAAAGGGUCCGUAGGCGGUUUAAUAAGUCAGUGGUGAAAGCCCAUCGCUCAACGGUGGAACGGCCAUUGAUACUGUUAGACUUGAAUUAUUAGGAAGUAACUAGAAUAUGUAGUGUAGCGGUGAAAUGCUUAGAGAUUACAUGGAAUACCAAUUGCGAAGGCAGGUUACUACUAAUUGAUUGACGCUGAUGGACGAAAGCGUGGGUAGCGAACAGGAUUAGAUACCCUGGUAGUCCACGCCGUAAACGAUGGAUACUAGCUGUUGGAAGCAAUUUCAGUGGCUAAGCGAAAGUGAUAAGUAUCCCACCUGGGGAGUACGUUCGCAAGAAUGAAACUCAAAGGAAUUG
rnacentral:rRNA from 1 species